AUUGAACGCUGGCGGCAUGCCUUACACAUGCAAGUCGAACGGCAGCACGGGUGCUUGCGCCUGGUGGCGAGUGGCGAACGGGUGAGUAAUACAUCUGAACAUGUCCUGUAGUGGGGGAUAGCCCGGCGAAAGCCGGAUUAAUACCGCAUACGAUCUACGGAUGAAAGCGGGGGACCGUCGGGCCUCGCGCUAUGGGGUUGGCCGAUGGCUGAUUAGCUAGUUGGUGGGGUAAAGGCCUACCAAGGCGACGAUCAGUAGAUGGUCUGAGAGGAUGACCAGCCACACUGGGACUGAGACACGGCCCAGACUCCUACGGGAGGCAGCAGUGGGGAAUUUUGGACAAUGGGCGGAAGCCUGCUCCAGCAAUGCCGCGUGUGUGAAGAAGGCCUUCGGGUUGUAAAGCACUUUUGUCCGGAAAGAAAUCCUUGGCUCUAAUACAGGCGGGGGAUGACGGUACCGGAAGAAGAAGCACCGGCUAACUACGUG
rnacentral:rRNA from 1 species